ACCUAGCUGGCUCAGUCAGAAGAGCAUAUGACUUUUGAUUCUGGGGCUGUGAGUUUGAGCCCCAUGUUGGGUG
rnacentral:tRNA from 1 species